rnacentral:rRNA from 1 species
GGACCCGCACAAGUAGUGGAGCAUGUGGUUUAAUUCGAAGAUACGCGCAGAACCUUACCAACACUUGACAUGUUCGUCGCGACUUUAAGAGAUUAAAGUUUUCGGUUCGGCCGGACGAAACACAGGUGCUGCAUGGCUGUCGUCAGCUCGUGUCGUGAGAUGUUGGGUUAAGUCCCGCAACGAGCGCAACCCUCACUUUUAGUUGCCAUCAUUUAGUUGGGCACUCUGAAAGAACUGCCAGUGAUAAGCUGGAGGAAGGUGGGGAUGACGUCAAGUCCUCAUGGCCCUUACGUGUUGGGCUACACACGUGCUACAAUGGUAUUUACAACAGGAAGCAAGACGGCGACGUUUAGCUAAACUCAAAAACCUGCCUCAGUUCGGAUUGCACUCUGCAACUCGAGUGCAUGAAGCUGGAAUCGCUAGUAAUCGC